rnacentral:rRNA from 1 species
UACGAAGGGGGCUAGCGUUGUUCGGAAUUACUGGGCGUAAAGCGCACGUAGGCGGACAUUUAAGUCAGGGGUGAAAUCCCAGAGCUCAACUCUGGAACUGCCUUUGAUACUGGGUGUCUUGAGUAUGGAAGAGGUGAGUGGAAUUCCGAGUGUAGAGGUGAAAUUCGUAGAUAUCUGGAGGAACACCGGUGGCGAAGGCGGCAUCCUGGACCGACA